UGCAGAGAGGUCUUUGUCAAGUCUGCUCUCUCCUCAUGGCCCCCUGAGACGUCCCAAAGUCAGUGUCAAGGAUACACAGUCUAUGAAGUUCGGUCAAGCCAUUUCAACCUCAGCCCCACCUGAAAUUCAGUGACAUUAUCUCUCUGGCCAUUUCCUUGGGCUGCAGUAACAAACCGAAACUCAAUCACAUGAUGCUGUCCAGUUGAUUCUGUCGCCUAGUGACCAUUGGAACAAACCUGGUAGAACUGCCCAGUCGGGUUUCCAAGGCUGUACCUUCAUGGGAACAGACCGCCGGGCCGUUUUCCCCUUCGGAGCUGCUCUUGGGUUUCAACCGCUGACCUUUGGAUGCACAUCUCCUCUGCACCAUGAGUCACCAUUCGAUGUGCUGCAGGAUUCAGACGUCUUCAUCAGACUUUUGUUUUGGAAAAGUACUCUGCUGACAGAGAUCAAUGUGCACAGAUCUGAAAGGAACAUGCAUGACUCACCGACCUGCCCUGAUCAGGAGAGCUUCAAGGCUGCUUUGAGUUUGCAUCUACAUCUGCCACCCAGUUAAGUGCACAUUUACCUUUGAUGCUGUGGAAAAUAAUAUGCUAUCUAUUUAUUUAUACACUAGGUUUGUGAGAACUGCUUAAGAUUUGUCCUGUGGUCUGUUUUAUUGCCAUCUGUCUUCGAUUAUAUAUUCCUUUAGAGAAGACAUUUAGUGCUUAACUCCCUCCCUCCCUCCCAUGCAUACAAAGGCCCUCAACAUAGCAUUUGAAACAUGAUGGAAAACAGGAAGAAAAAGCGAAGGCUACACCCUUACCCGACACCUUGCUUUCCCUUCAUCUGUGAGUCAAUCUCUAGCACGCCUCCCACCUUCUCUUUCUUUCCUUCCACCCCCUCUCAGACCCUCCCUACUUGUUCUGAGGAUGGGGCUUCAAGCAUCUCCUGGGAAAAUGGCAUGAAAUGAUCAUGGAAUUUCUUUGCAAACUUUUUGAAACCCCCUUGUAUUUCUAGCUUUCUCCUUCUCCUUUCCCCACCAUCACAGAAUCUGCAUGUUUCUUUGGACAAUUGGGUGGGGAGCUGAGAGCUGAGCUCACAUCUGGAAACCACCCAAGACAGAGACAGAACGUGGCGGGGCCCUGCGGGCUGGAGUGCGCGUUGGGGGCUGGAGAGGAGUCUGCCAGGGAAGAGGAUGGGCAAGUUUUACGAUUGAUGUUUGGCAAAGUCUACCUGGACUAACACACUAACUGAAAGCCCAAAACUUCCAGCACAGGCAUAUCUGAGGGCAGAGGCUCUCUCCAAAGCUCCCACAAAAGCCUAGUGCUGGAGGAAGAUGA